CGCUAGCUACAGGCUUAACACAUGCAAGUCGAGGGGCAGCAUGAAGUUUGCUUGCAAACUUUGAUGGCGACCGGCGCACGGGUGAGUAACACGUAUCCAACCUGCCGAUAACUCGGGGAUAGCCUUUCGAAAGAAAGAUUAAUACCCGAUGGCAUGGAAAGUCCGCAUGGUCUUUCCAUUAAAGAACUUCGGUUAUCGAUGGGGAUGCGUUCCAUUAGAUAGUAGGCGGGGUAACGGCCCACCUAGUCAACGAUGGAUAGGGGUUCUGAGAGGAAGGUCCCCCACAUUGGAACUGAGACACGGUCCAAACUCCUACGGGAGGCAGCAGUGAGGAAUAUUGGUCAAUGGACGAGAGUCUGAACCAGCCAAGUAGCGUGAAGGAUGACUGCCCUAUGGGUUGUAAACUUCUUUUAUACGGGAAUAAAGUGUUCCACGUGUGGAAUUUUGUAUGUACCGUAUGAAUAAGGAUCGGCUAACUCCGUGCCAGCAGCCGCGGUAAUACGGAGGAUCCGAGCGUUAUCCGGAUUUAUUGGGUUUAAAGGGAGCGUAGGUGGAAGAUUAAGUCAGCCUGUGAAAGUUUGCGGCUCAACCGUAAAAUUGCAGUUGAUACUGGUUUUCUUGAGUGCAGUAGAGGUGGGCGAAGUUCGUGGUGUAGCGGUGAAAUGCUUAGAUAUCAUUAAAAGGUCACGAUUG
rnacentral:rRNA from 1 species